CUCUCAAAGCAAAAGAGUGAUGUAGUGAAGGCAGGCCUAACAUGUGACCUAUGAAGCAGCCCCCAUGCCUCUGAGCCUGUAGCAUCAUCCAACACUCAGUUCUAGGUUCCUGUCCCUGUGUAGGGGGUAAAGAGAGAUUGAAUUUCUUUAACUACUCCUUGGUUCAGAAGUGCCUUAGAACCAAUAUGGGCGGUGGAGAUGGCAGCCAGUUUUCCAAGGAGCUCUUGUCCCAAAGUACUUUCAGAGUGCAGACAGACUACCUAGACUCUGUCAGCUGUAACUUAGGGUGUGUUUACCAAUCACUGAGUCCAGGAACACUGGAUAGAGAUGUUUGGAAGCAGCUUUGUCACUUUGGCAUGUUCAGCUUAGCAGGGAAGAUCAAGAAGUAAGAUCUGCUGGGCAACCUGGAUUCUGCAGUGCGAAGUCCUAAAAAGAGCCAUGGUCCUUAUCUUCUGAUACCUUCCUCUGCAGGCUUACUGGCUUGGCCUUUUCUUAGCCCUUCUCUCUCACUUGGGUAUCAUUCUGCAGCCCUUUGUGGGAGAACAGAGGGUACCCCAGUGGAAAGAUGCUUGGCCAUUCUUUGGCUGUCUGUAUGGCAUCUACCAGGUGUUGGUCUAAGACAGUAGGAGGUCCCUGGCCCUGGUGACAAGUCCUGUCUCUCAGCUGUAACUGUACCAACCAGCCAGUGUACCAGCUGAAGGAAAGGGCCAGGGCAACCUGUGGGAGACUGUUCCUGGAGAGAGAUCACAUGCCUGAGGACAGGAGGGUGGCUGUUGUCACCUUUUAAGAAAGGUCAACUUAGGCCCGUGGACGCCGAGCCCCGGGAACCGUGCGCGCAGGUACAGACCACAGACAUUCGCAGCUUCCAGGGAGAAUGGUGAGGAUCUUGGCCAAUGGGGAGAUCGUUCAGGACGAUGACCUCCGAGCGAGGACUACCACCCAACAGAGAAGUAGCAGUGCUCGGCAGGGCUUUUUCAACAGAGGCCACGGGGUACCUCCAGGGGGCCCUGGACCCCGCCAGCAGCAGGCAGGUGCCCGACUGGGUGCUGCCCAGUCUCCUUUCAAUGACCUGAACCGGCAGCUGGUGAACAUGGGCUUCCCACAGUGGCAUCUCGGGAACCACGUGGUGGAACCUGUGACCUCCAUCCUCCUCCUUUUCCUGCUCAUGAUGCUUGGGGUUCGCGGCCUCCUGCUAGUGGGCCUGGUCUACCUGGUGUCUCACCUGAGCCAGCGGUGACCUCCAGGGAACUCAUCAGGGUGGGAGCAUUCAGUAGGAUCGACUGGGCUUCGGGUGUGAGAGAUCACGCACAGGGGGAGGGAGCUUGGGUGUGCUCAGAAGGUGUGUUGAGUGUGAGACCGUGAGCAUAGAUUUUCCCCGCUGCAGGAGGCAGAGGGACUCUCUGGGCCAGCAUUGCUGAAAAAUAGAGUCCUAUGGUUUUCUGGAAUGUUUUUAGGGGGCAUAGGGCCUCCACUCAAAAGCACAAGCCAGAUUAAGAAAGGCUUAGUAUGGAGUAUGUGCUGUCCCAGAACACAUGUCCUCCACCAGGUGCAAACCUGGAGCUUCGCGCAGCUGGGAACUGUCCAGAGUUUUAUAGCAUUCCUUUAUUUUAACGGUGUCUUUUCUAUUGGCUGCUCUUAUUUGUGAGGAAGGACAUUGACAUUCUGUUCAUUCUGAUCUUUCCUUUCGGUUUUCUAAGACAAGAGUCUCACUGUGUAGCCCUGGCUGGCCUGGAACUCAUCAUGUAGACCAGGCUGGCCUUGAGCUCACAGAGAUCCUCCUGCCUCUUCUUCCCGAGGGCUGGGACCAAAGGUGUGUGAUACCAUGCCCGGGUAUUGUGAUAUUUUCAAUAAAUAAACCCUUUUAAGAAAAAAAAAAAAAAAAGAAAGGUCAACUUAUAGUUUACCUUGUUCCUC